rnacentral:rRNA from 1 species
GAAGGUGGCCUGUGAGGGUUGCUGGAGGUAUCAGAAGUGCGAAUGCUGACAUAAGUAACGAUAAAGCGGGUGAAAAGCCCGCUCGCCGGAAGACCAAGGGUUCCUGUCCAACGUUAAUCGGGGCAGGGUGAGUCGACCCCUAAGGCGAGGCCGAAAGGCGUAGUCGAUGGGAAACGGGUUAAUAUUCCCGUACUUGGUGUUACUGCGAAGGGGGGACGGAGAAGGCUAUGUUGGCCGGGCGACGGUUGUCCCGGUUUAAGCGUGUAGGUGUGUGUUCCAGGUAAAUCCGGUUCACUUUAACACUGAGGCGUGAUGACGAGGCACUACGGUGCUGAAGCAACAAAUGCCCUGCUUCCAGGAAAAGCCUCUAAGCAUCAGGUAACAUCAAAUCGUACCCCAAACCGACACAGGUGGUCAGGUAGAGAAUACCAAGGCGCUUGAGAGAACUCGGGUGAAGGAACUAGGCAAAAUGGUGCCGUAACUUCGGGAGAAGGCACGCUGACACGUAGGUGAAGUGAUUUACUCAUGGAGCUGAAGUCAGUCGAAGAUACCAGCUGGCUGCAACUGUUUAUUAAAAACACAGCACUGUGCAAACACGAAAGUGGACGUAUACGGUGUGACGCCUGCCCGGUGCCGGAAGGUUAAUUGAUGGGGUCAGCGCAAGCGAAGCUCCUGAUCGAAGCCCCGGUAAACGGCGGCCGUAACUAUAACGGUCCUAAGGUAGCGAAAUUCCUUGUCGGGUAAGUUCCGACCUGCACGAAUGGCGUAAUGAUGGCCAGGCUGUCUCCACCCGAGACUCAGUGAAAUUGAACUCGCUGUGAAGAUGCAGUGUACCCGCGGCAAGACGGAAAGACCCCGUGAACCUUUACUAUAGCUUGACACUGAACAUUGAGCCUUGAUGUGUAGGAUAGGUGGGAGGCUUUGAAGUGUGGACGCCAGUCUGCAUGGAGCCGACCUUGAAAUACCACCCUUUAAUGUUUGAUGUUCUAACGUGGACCCGUAAUCCGGGUUGCGGACAGUGUCUGGUGGGUAGUUUGACUGGGGCGGUCUCCUCCUAAAGAGUAACGGAGGAGCACGAAGGUUGGCUAAUCCUGGUCGGACAUCAGGAGGUUAGUGCAAUGGCAUAAGCCAGCUUGACUGCGAGCGUGACGGCGCGAGCAGGUGCGAAAGCAGGUCAUAGUGAUCCGGUGGUUCUGAAUGGAAGGGCCAUCGCUCAACGGAUAAAAGGUACUCCGGGGAUAACAGGCUGAUACCGCCCAAGAGUUCAUAUCGACGGCGGUGUUUGGCACCUCGAUGUCGGCUCAUCACAUCCUGGGGCUGAAGUAGGUCCCAAGGGUAUGGCUGUUCGCCAUUUAAAGUGGUACGCGAGCUGGGUUUAGAACGUCGUGAGACAGUUCGGUCCCUAUCUGCCGUGGGCGCUGGAGAACUGAGGGGGGCUGCUCCUAGUACGAGAGGACCGGAGUGGACGCAUCACUGGUGUUCGGGUUGUCAUGCCAAUGGCACUGCCCGGUAGCUAAAUGCGGAAGAGAUAAGUGCUGAAAGCAUCUAAGCACGAAACUUGCCCCGAGAUGAGUUCUCCCUGAGACUU